AUUUAAUUUCUUGGAUGAGAAAUAGUUUGGUAUUUUGGCUCAUGAUUUGGAUUUUUGCAGGGAUGGUGUGAGUGAAGGCUAGUUCAAUCAAAUUUUGCUUUAUGAGUUGGAUGCAAUUAGGAAGAUACGGAUGCACCCUCACAGAUAGUUUUGGAUGUAGCUACCUUGGAGCAGCAACCAAGUUGCACAUUGUCCCUAGAAACAUCCCUUUCAAAGUACAAUGCAUAUACUGUAAAAUCAAGAGGGUGGUUUGGUCUUCGAUGAUUUAGUAGUUUAUAUGUGGCAGAAUAUUGUUGACGGUGAAACCGAGUAGAAAUUCGUCAAUUGUAAGAUCUCAUGCCCCUUUUUUAUAUUUCUUUUUGGAAGUAAAUCACAUCAUUGAGUGGGCCCCUCCUUUCAUUGACAUGUAUGAGAAGGAAUGCAUUCUUACUAAGCCAUUGAAAGUCACAGGAUAUGCUAUCCAAAUCAUAGAAAAUUGUUGAAAUGUAAUUAAUUUAUUUUUAUUAUUUUGUUUUACAGGUUGCAGGCAGAGACAGAUGAUGGCUAGAUGGAGAGAUUUCUUUUAUAUGUAUUUAGAACAUUUUCAACAUAUUAUUGUAAAUAUUAUACAAUUUUCAUUGUAAAGUAAUACAAUUUAUUUAGUAUUCAUUUUUAA